UACGGAGGGUGCAAACGUUGCUCGGAAUCAUUGGGCGUAAAGCGCACGUAGGUGGCCUGUUAAGUCGGGUGUGAAAUCCCUGGGCUCAACCCAGGAAGUGCACUCGAAACUGGCAGGCUAGAGUGCGGUAGAGGGUAGUGGAAUUCCCGGUGUAGCGGUGAAAUGCGUAGAGAUCGGGAGGAACACCAGUGGCGAAGGCGGCUACCUGGACCAGCACUGACACUGAGGCACGAAAGCGUGGGGAGCAAACAGG
rnacentral:rRNA from 1 species